rnacentral:sRNA from 1 species
UUUAAGAUCACUUAAAAAUUUGAGAAUGAAAUUGAUUCACAUUGUGACAUGUCCAUAGCAAACUCGGGCUUUGGGCUGGCUUUCCCUCUUUGCUUAGUAUUUAUCUGUUCUGUCUUCUUUGCCCUGCUGGUGUGUGCUUAGAAAAAUGAACAAUCAUUUUAAUGUUAUAUUCAGCAGAACAAGUUGGCAGUGAACACACUGUAAAGUUAGUAUGCUUUUCAGGUUGACGUUGCAGUGGUAUAACCCUGCAAAAGUAGAUAACAGGGUUAAACAAAAAUUGAUUUUAGCUCUUUAUUUGUACGUUUUUUCUUCAGCUUGGAUUUUCAGUGUUGAUGCUGCAUGUUAUAGGCUGUGAAGUUUGACAAUACCCAAAAGAGAAUGAAAGUGGAAAUGAGAGGAAUUUGGUAACACGGUGUUUUUAAUGUGAACUUUUUGUUUAAAGCAAAUGCAGCCCUGAGGAUUUGGCUACUGCAUAUAACAACAGGGGGCAAAUCAAGUACUUCAGGGUUGAUUUUUAUGAAGCCAUGGAUGACUACACAUCUGCCAUAGAAGUCCAACCCAAUUUUGAAGUUCCAUAUUACAACAGAGGGUUGAUACUGUAUAGGCUGGGAUAUUUUGAUGAUGCUUUGGAAGAUUUCAAGAAGGUCUUAGACUUAAAUCCUGGAUUUCAAGAUGCUACUUUGAGCUUAAAACAGACUAUUCUAGACAAA